AUUUUUUUCUUUCAAUAUUACGAUUCUUUGGUUUAUGGCCCCGAUAUAUUAUUUUGACUUGUAAAUGUGAGAAACUAACAAAUACCAAGACGUUUGUAUACCAAUUUUGCAAAUAAAGUCCGCCAUUUACACUAUCUAGGUGUAUUCAAGUUUAAUAAAUAAAUAAUACCUAAAUUUUAUCUUUUAAUCAUCUCACAAAUAACAACAGAUAUUGGUACAUAUCUACUCAAAAAAAGAAAACAAAA